UACGAAGGGGGCUAGCGUUGCUCGGAAUCACUGGGCGUAAAGCGCACGUAGGCGGCUUUAUACGAGGGGUGAAAUCCUGGAGCUCAACUCCAGAACUGCCUUUGAUACUGAGAGCUUGAGUCCGGGAGAGGUGAGUGGAACUGCGAGUGUAGAGGUGAAAUUCGUAGAUAUUCGCAAGAACACCAGUGGCGAAGGCGGCUCACUGGCCCGGUACUGACGCUGAGGUGCGAAAGCGUGGGGAGCAAACAGG
rnacentral:rRNA from 1 species